GGCACAAACUUGAAGUAGAGUAGAUUAGUGUGGCCAUUUGAUCCUAUCAAUCUGCUCUAUUUCAGAUUUGGGCCC
rfam:Haemonchus placei strain MHpl1 genome assembly, scaffold: HPLM_scaffold0000416